rnacentral:rRNA from 1 species
GCUUACGGCCAUACCGCUCUGAUCAAGCCCGAUCUCGUCUGAUCUCGGAUUCUAAGCAAAGCCGGGCAUGGUUAGUACUUGAAGGGAGACUGCUUGGGAAUACCGUGUGCUGUAAGUU